GGCAAGUGCUUAUGAUCAUAUCCACCAUGUCUGUAAAUCUUCUCUCAGCAGCUAUGUAAAGAGGAGUCCUGCCAGAACUAUUAGGACCAUAGUGAUUUUGCAGUGCGUAUAAGAGCUUCCACGACCUUCAAAUGCCCUUCCCUUGCUGCAAGGUGAAGCGGAGUCUCGCCUUUCAGAUUUGGCCGUUGCAGUAGAGAGGAACAUGAAGGCAACGUAAGGAUCCAUUGCACAGAGUCUAGUUUACCGAACUGGGCUGCGAUGUGGAGUAUUGUGUUAUGGUUUGGGGUUAACUGGACUUGAAAUUCAUGCUCUGAAAUCUCCUUGAGGUCAUCGAUCUUCCCCUCCGCUGCCGCCUUGUACAGACCGGCAUCCAUGCCUGUGAUGACGGUUUGGCUGCCAUCUGCAUUUGCAGCCUGAUUUGAAAUUCUGCAAUCCUGCAAUUCUGCGCCGUGAUUGGAAGCACCCAGCUGAUCCAUUAAGUGUUUUUUGGACUCUUCACUCCUCUCCAACUGUAGUGAACUGAAACGAAUGGAAGCAAUUUAUUUAUGUCAUUAUGUUGUGACGUCCAAAGUUGUGUGGUGGAGAGAAGGUGCAUCUGUCCUUUCCCCGGUCUCUUCUUUGAAUUCUUUCGUUUUUAAUUUCUGUAUUUUCCCUUUAUUGUGAUACUGCAUCUCCCAUCUUGACAGCUCAUGUACAAGAAAUGUGGAAAAUUGUGGAUGAAAUUAACUGGCUAAUAGCAACCGGAUAGGGCAAGUUUGAUUGA